rnacentral:rRNA from 1 species
GGUGUAGGCGGCUCUUCAAGUCGGAUGUAAAAUCUCUCGGCUUAACCGGGAGGGACCAUUCGAUACUGUUGGGCUCGAGUGCAGCAGGGGAAAGCGGAAUUCCCGGUGUAGUGGUGAAAUGCGUAGAUAUCGGGAGGAACACCAGUGGCGAAGGCGGCUUUCUGGGCUGUAACUGACGCUGAGACCCAUAAGCGUGGGGAGCAAACAGGAUUAGAUACCCUGGUAGUCC